AUUCGCCAAACCAGAGGAGCAGUAAGCAGAGAGGGAAAACGGUCACCAUUACAACACUAACAUGUCAAAAAUACAGUUAAAUUUACUGUGUUUUUUCAAAAUGAAGGAAGAGUUUCAUGACACUCCAAAAACGAGUCAGUAAAGCCUCUACAAGCGGCGACGAGGGCAGCAACUGCGGCGGUUAUGUUACCGGUUUAAACCGGCUACAGCAGGAGGCUCGCGAGCGCCGCGACCAUAGACUGUAUACACUAUACUAUAUUCUACUAUACAGUCUAUGGCCGCGACAGUUAGCCGAGCCAAGGCAGGAGGCUGGUACCGCGGCAGGAGCUGGUUAGGUUCACCGCCAGCCGGAGCAGGAGCCGGUUACAGCCCGGUGGGCCACCAUCAGGCGGAUACGCUGGUAUCAGUUAACCCGGUACAACAACCGGAGUAAGAGGCGGGAACCGCGACAUCAGCAGAAAGAUCGAGAAGGAGAGGAGAGCGGACCGAGGAGAGGACUGAGGGACGGGAGGUCGUGGGUGAUCAAAGGACCCAGAACUGUCACAGACACACGGAGUUAAACCCGAAAUAGGAGGAGGAGGAGGAGGAUCCGGACAUGGUCGUGAUGUGGAGGAGUUUUGGACUAAACACGGUGAGUAAACUGUCUAUUAACAGGCCGCCGUGCCAAACUUUGACUAAUAAUAAUAGUAAUAAUAGAAGAUUUGUGUGAUUUAUUUAAAGCUCUUUUCUACGUUAGACAUGUUGAGAAAGUUAUUUUGCUGACUCUUUACUGCAAGUCCCACCUGUGGUGUUGUGGGCAUUUGUCUGUGCUGUGCAGAGUAGGGGAGAGUGGGUUAAGAUGAUCCAUUUUUCAUAUUUCAGAUCACUCCAUCAAGUCAAUCCUAGUUAUUCCAUGGAUGUUAUUUGAAGUUGAGGCUUGUAAGUCCCACAGCAUGGUAAGUGGGCAUUUGCAUGUUGUUUUCAGUUCAUUUUCGAUAAAUGUUCCGGGACCCGUCUCCUCAUCCCUGAGCUCUCAUAUUAUGAUUUACUAAUUAAAUACUGUGAAGAGGUGGUUCAAAAGUUAGAGACAAACUUUUGCAGAUGUUGAAAGAUCAACAAUUCAGCUCAUUGAGGACCAUUAUUUCUUAUUUUGCAGACGAGCAGGGAACUUUCUUGUCUCUUGUUGAUCUUUGGUUGCCUCUCAUUGGACACAACCGUCAAGGGAAAGAUAGAAGAAGAAUAUUAGACCAUGUAAUUGGUCGAAAGUUUGACAGAGAAAGACGUCAUCAAAACAUAUCGUCAAACCUGGAAGACAUUAGCGGCAUUUAGCGAUAGCUAUCUUUUUUAUCACAACAGUCUGAUAAAUAAUCCUGUUUUCACCGGUUUAUCACUGCGGAUUUACCACCAAACGUCUCUGAUCAAACACCUGUUUUUGUGGCUGGAUUGUAAACCUUGUGGCCGGUGUAGAAAUGUCUGGAAACCCUCAAUAGAUCGCCAAAAGGGUAAACUUUUGAUCACAUUUUAUCCUGUAGAGAUACGCUGUAUAAUUCCUGAGAAACUGUGAACUGUAUUAAUGGGGUCACGUGAGAUCGCUGGCGAUCCAGCAGAGUUCUAAGUGUUAAAUAAAUAAAGGCUCUCUUCUCUUCUUUUAGCCAACAACUCUUCCUUCAGUCCUGGGAUCUCCCCCCAGUGGACAGGAAGAGGAUCUUUUCCAAGUCAAGUAUCCAGGAUAAGGGUGCCAGAUGUAAAGAAAAACACUCUGAUUAGUGACCUUUAGAUUAAAACAGCAACACUUAAAUCGAUCCGCUCCUUCAAGUGGCUCUGUCAGAGAAACAAACAGUAAAAAGCCUUCCUUUGUUAGCAGAUCCUCGCUGCAGGAAAACCUCCUCUGUCCUCAUAAUUCCCCUCCUCUCUCUUUGGAGCCACUGAAACUGCCCGUGUCAUAAAAGCUUUGUUGGAUUUAGGGCCUAUAGGAAGCCUCGGGCCCCUGGCCAAUUCAAGCAAGCUGCUCUCAGCGAGUGAAACCAGAGAAAUGGCAAUGCUCGUGGGAGCAGGGGUAAUGAUUCAAAGACACCCAUUCAGCAGCCGCACACUCUCCCAGGGCCAUAAGCUACACAAUCAGGACUAUACAAGGAUCACACACUCUCUCUUCGUACCUCCAUGUAGUCAGUUAUGCAUACGUCUUACUGAUUGUUUUAAUGUUCUCAGUAAAGUGCCGACAAAAUCCUUGGAUUUAUGGACAUUUUUCAACAGUUUAGGGUCUGUUUAAAAGCCGUUAGCAGUGAAAAUAAACUCUUAUUUUGACCUCCUGUUAGAGAAUAAAUUUACCUCAUCACACUGGAGUCAUAAAACAUUUCUAAACCUAUUAAAUUAGCGACAUCAACUGCAGCAUAAUCAAAUUCCCUGCAUUAAAGAGCAUUUUGGAGACAUUCUGGGUAGCUGUCAGAAGUCAUUAAGUAAGAAAAGAAAGGUCACAUUGGGACACCAAACCAUAACGAAAAACAGAAGAGAAAUAAAUCCUCCUCCUUUCAGUGCGUUCAUCAACCAGUGUAUUAUUAAAGUAGAAAAAGCCCACCUUCAAAAUAUGAUUGAAGCUUUUGCACCAGCAGGUCAAGUUUUAGUCAGGGAAGGAGAUUUUACCAAAGACAGAUAGUUUUACCUGAGAAGCAGGUCGUCCUGCAAUCCAUGCAACAGCGUCAGAGCUAGUGGACAGGAUGUACCGCAAAACAGCUACUACAGGUCCCAUCACAGUAACAUCACCCAGAGUACGAUGCAUCAAUUAACACCAGGCAAAUCGGGGAAGACGAUAAGUCGGAAACCAAAUAAGGCAGUUUGCGCAAAAUGCUGAAAAAUUUUUGGUUUAGAUAGCUCUCCUCACAGUUUCUCUUUAAAGGAGCUGAACUAAACUGCAUCUAAUAUGGCUGAAACACUUAUCCUGCAUUCGAGUUACCUUGGAAAUCAGAUGUCGGAGCUGAAAAUGACGUCACACUCAAGUUUCAGUUAGCAAGUCUGGAAAAAAAAGCAAAAUCAGAGGCAGAAACAGGAUGGCUACAUCCACGAAAGUUAUUUUAACGCUUGUCUUAUGUCCGGACAAGGCAAGUGCUAAAAUAACUUUCAUAGACGUAGCCAUUUUGUUUCUGCCUCCGAUUUUGCUUUUUUACAACUUGGGAACUAAAACGCUGGUAACUCGGGUGUGACGUCAUUUUUAGUGACGUCACACCCAAGCGUUCGUAAAAAAACAACAACAGUGUUCAAAUCUGUGACAUCUGUGUCAUCUGCAAAGACUUAAAGACACCUGCAGAGGUCUGACUCACCUUGCCUAAUGUUAAGGAUUAUGUUGCUAUGGAAACGUUUCCGACUUGUAAAUCAGCAGGACUAAUGAUGUGUUCAAGUGACCUCAGAAGUAAGAAGUCCGAGCUGAAAAUGACGUCACACCCGAGCUACCAACGUUUCAGUUACCAAGUUGGAAAAAAAAUCAAAAUUGGAAACAAGAUGGCUACAUCUACGAAAAUUAUUUUGGCGCUUGCCUUGUCCGAAUAUAAGUCAAGCGCCAAAAUAAAUUUCGUAGAUGUAGCCAUCUUGUUUUAGGCUUCUGAUAUUGCUUUUUUUUUCCGACUUGGUAACUGACGUGAGUGUGACAUCAUUUUCAGCUCCGACAUCUGACUUCCGAGGUAACUGUAACGCAGCAUAAACACAUCAUUUAUAAAUCAAUAAUGUUUAAACUCGUGUCUCGUGUGGAUUAGAUAGCGCCUUUCACUCAUUCAGGGUUCUAAUUAGCUUGAACAACCCCCUCACUUUCAUUACCCUGAUCCCCGUCAGUCUGUGAAUUACUCAUAAAUGGUUGCGUAGUUCCUCCUUCAAACAAAGCCCUUCGUUGUAAUUUUACUUCCUAGAAUGAGCUAAUAUGAAGUCAAACAGGGUUCCAGAGAUUUUCACUCUGAUCUAAUUUCUUACAUCUGACAUUUAUCAGCAACGAGGGAAACUAAUACGACUUGAUUUGCUGUUUUAUUAGCAAUGCAACAGAAAAGAGGACCUUGUUGGUCUAAUGACAACACACCCCCUCCGCUGAGAUUGAAGUCACAUUGGCUGUUGGUAACGAGGACAGUCAGGAAAGCUGCCAGGGCGCAUGAUCAAUUGUUGUCCUUGCAUCACAUUGAGUCCGGUCCUGGUGUUUGCAUACACAGUUUAAAGGACUCUAUCGGUAACAGGGAGGGAAAAUGAAAAAAGGUGUCCGGUAAAAUGUUCCUUUCACAAUCUGAUUUCAUGCCUCGGUGCCUGUGCGCGGAUAAUAACUGACCUAUUGUUGGGGUGACUGCAAAUCAUGUAAAAGCCAUAAUCUAAGUCUUACAAUAAUCUGGGUUUUUACUGUAAUCGACUUGUUUGUUAAUGUCCCGUGUGAAUGUUGCUUUCAUGUAUUUAUGACUCAUGUUUGACUGAAAUAACCCCACCGCCUGCCCCCACCCCGCUGCCCUCACAACACACCCUCACACACUAAUCAAUACGAACACCCAUGCUGUAAUGUGUGUGUUAGUGUAUUUUCUCUGCCCUGCAGCUCGACACAACCCUGCAACACAUCUUUAACAAUCAGGCAGAGAAAAGACCAACCCCCCCCGCCCCACACACACACACACACACACACACACACACACACACACACACACACACACCCAAUACUCCCCCCUUAUAAAUACAUAAGCACUGCUUUACAAUAGGGCACAGCAUAUGUGAGUGUUCAUGGGGCUGUCAGGGGAGGGGGGCAUGCUGAACAUGGGUUACAUGAGGUGAUAGUCAAUAGUCAGUGUGUUACCCACAGAGGAUGCUGGCCGGCUCGACCCCUUUUGUUGAGAAACCAGCUGGAGCGCCGGGACAGAAACUGAAAAUCUCUGCAGACGGGGUCAAACUCAGACCCAAAGACUGAAUUUAGAAAAGUUUCAAAACAUAAAUGUAAUUAAUGUAAAAUUAAUUUAGGGUCAGACUAGUGCUGGGCGAUAGGACGAUACAUAUCGUGGGCACGAUAGAAAAUGUCUAUCGUGCCAUUUUUAUUGUUAUCGUUUCGGGCGAUAGGCUGUAUUUAAUCCAUAGGGCUUGUGCCAUCAGAUGAUUCAUAGUGACAACAACAAAAAUUGCACAUUCAGUAAGUGUAUUUGGUGUCGAACGGGAAAGAAAACAAUAUUUUCUUACAAAGAAAAGGAUGCGUUGACAUGUAGGCUUGCAUUUCUCUUUCGAUUUUGCGACAUGACGCCGCUUAACGUGCCCUCUUCGUGUCCAGCGUCUCCCGCCGUUGCGGGUUACCUGGGUUACACACGUGAGGGGAUCAUUGUAAGCAGUGCUUAAUUUGUGCCGGAGCAAGUCGGAGCGCGAUCCGGGACCUCUUUUGAUCGGAUCCGGGACCUAUUUCAGCCGCUCCGGCACCUGUUUCAUCUGCUCCGGGACCUUCCCUGUAGAGGAUGACAUUUUUCGGGAAUUCCCGUGGGUCACGUGAUUCCCGCGGGAAUCCCACGGGAUGGGAGUCAUUUUUUAAUUAAUCCCUUGAUCGGGACGGGACGGGGAAAAAGGCAACGGGAGUGGGCAGGAGCGGGAACAACAUUAAAAGAUGAUCAUUUUCAGCCGUGUUUAACAACCAGCUGAACAGGUGCGUCCAUUGUUGUAGUCAUCUCUCAGUGAGAGCCAACACUCUUGACCGCGCUAGCAACACAAAAGAACUACAACAGUGGUUUGACUUCCUGUCAGCUUGGCGCGGCUGCGCAUUUCUACCCUUCAAGCCAGCAGCGAGGAAACGUAAUUUUGUGACAUUCUGUAGUUUUUCAAUCAUUUCUGGAGUCGUGGCGAAUCAAAUCACCUUACCUGUCUGCCCCUGAUAGGCGAAUAAAGCGCUCGGAUUCAUGCUCGGGUCUUCCUACGUGCUUCAAGAGUAAAGUAAACAAUGAUGGAGGCAGAGAGCAGCUUUGGAGGAGAAACAUCUAGCAGUGUGAACAACCUCUUCAAAAGAGCCCUAAAGACCUACCUUUUUAAUAAAGCCUUUGGUUAACUUUCCUCUAUGCUUUUACUACCUUGCCUCUUACAUUGCAACUCUAUAUUUUUUAUUUUUUUAAAUUCUUUUUUUAUGCCAAUCUGUGACUGUUAUUCUAUUGCUUUUUUAUUGUUGCUGCUCUUUUUUUACUGUGUACUGUAGCACUUUUAGAUUUUUUGUAAAUGUAAAGUGCAUUACAAAUUAAAUUUAUUAUUAUUAUUAUUAUUAUUAUUAUUAUUAUUAUUAUGGAGUGCUUUGGCUCACACUAUCGGCGUUUUCUGUGAGUGUUGCAUAACUUUGGGUGAGCACAGACAUGAACGCACUUCGGCCACGUAUUUAUUUAUUCAUUUUUCUAGUUUUAAGUGCUGGUCUUGUACUGGUACUGUACUAGUGCAGCUGUAUACACUUAAAUUUUUCAUAGAACUGAAAGCAUACCAUAGCUAUAUUGUGAUAUAUAUCGUUAUCGUGAUAUAAAAUGAUCCAUAUCGUGAUAUACAUUUUUUUCCAUAUCGCCCAGCACUAGGUCAGACAGACCGUAACACUGAGUUAGACCCCCCCCUCCAGAGAUGAAUGUUGUCGACCGCUUGCUUCUCUAGUUAUACCAACUUUAGUAACGACCGCAGGAUAGUAAUACAGAGAGGUCUGAGGAGCCAUAAACAAACCUCAACCAAAACACCACUCUAUAGCCACAAAUAAUGCUCAGAACAGCACCUAACUUCAUCAACAGGACAUACAGGGUCACAGACAUAGUACCAGUGUUACAGCCCGGCUCGUAGGCUGUUACAAGUAAUGGGGAAGACACAGAGUGUUAUUGUUAAACAAAGAUGAACUCACUUUCUAAAUUAAUGAACAUGUUUCCGUUAUGUGUGUGAGUGAGAGUCAGUAAGGAAACUAGGUGUCAUGCAGUGUAAGUGUUGAGGAGCGUGUCGGGUGCAUUAAAGAAACAAAAGUAGCUGCUUGGAGGAUGAAGGAAGAGAGGGAGCGUGAGGCCGCGGCGGAAGUCGGUCUUUUAUAGCCCCGGUAACACACUGGGCCCUAGUGGUCACCGGAACACGUCAGCCACUGCACCUCAAAAUAAAACAGGACAUAUAUACUCGGUCACAACUAGACACCAAACGUCUUUUUAACUUUUUUUAGCAAAGAGACUAAACACAACUCACCUACUCUCUUCCAGCAGACGCUUGUUUGUAGAGAGACCUCAGGCCGGUCUAUUACAGACUACAACGGGGUGCCGCAGCUCAAGGAAGAACAUUUAUGAUCAUUUCUUCAUGGAAAUACAAUCAGACCGAGACGCUAAGACAGAAGAACUACCACGUCUGCAGUGCAAAAUGGUUAAUAUGGUGAUUAUUACUUCAAAUAAUCGAUAAAGAAAUGAUCAUAAAUGUUCUUGAUUGAGCUGCGGCACCCCGCUCCUCAGACCGCUGUGUAUUGCUAUCCCACAGUCGUUACUCAAGUUUUGUUAUAACUAGAGAAGUAAGCGGUCAGAAUCUGAAUGAAUCUGACGCAGUGUUCAAAUCAAAUGUAAAUAAAACUAUUUACUCGCUUAAUUCGUGUAAAUAACUCACUCCGCUUACGUACUCUGUUAAAUUCACAAAAAGGAGGAAUUUCCGUCACGCCAUUAUGGUCUGUUUUCAACAAACGUGGCUGCAAGGAUUUCUGUGUUUUUACAACUUAACCAGAAUGUACAUCACAGAUUUGAAGCGCAGACCAGAAGAGAGAGGGGACAAACUUCUGUGCAGGAUGGAGAGCAAGAAAAAUUGUCUGGUGGUCCAGGUGUGUAAACUGUGAACCUGGGGAAACUCAGAGAAGACUCGGUAGAUCUUACAUCAUUUGUACAACAACAAAAGCACUGAAGCGUGAAGUACGCACCGUGUGAAUGGGGUGAAUUGUGUACAUCAAGUGUAAAAUCAGAGGGUAAAGCGAUGGUGGGGUGAGGUGGGGUGAUGAUGGGAGGGGUGUAAAGCAGUAAAGGAGGGGUUUAGCGGCAGCUGCCCAGAGAGUGACGACUGUACAGGAGGGAGGCAGAGGAAUAAGAGCGAGGGAAAGAGGAGCAGAGGGAGGGAACCCCGAGAGGGGGGAGCAUGCAGGGACGGAGGGGUAGAGCCUGAGCUGUCAGUGCAGGAGAGCGGAUGGAGGAGUGAGAACAAGCAGAGCUGCACGCCAAACAAACUACGCCAAACAGUGCAAAACUUGGUGCAUAUGAGGGAUUUAUACGCAGGCAGAUCCAGGAGGAAGACAAAAGUCACAACGGGGUAAAAAUACGAUUUCAGGUUUUCCAUGGGAACAGGAUUCCUUAAUGGUCCAUGUUUCUGGUUUUUGAUGGUUUCCGUGCUCCUGGUCCCACCAGCUGCCAGCACUGUCACAGGGUUAUUGAGGCCUUGAGCCACACAGAUAAUCAGCUUUAUUAGUGCUGCCGCUAAAACCAAUUUAAGAGCAGACUAGAGGGAUCAGACGGGCCAGCUGUCCACACCAGCGCCUCGGCAGGCACCCCGGCCCCAGCCCACACAAAACACCAAAACAACAACGAGCCAACUGUGCGCACUGCCAAUUCAACUGUGUGAGCAGGCUUAUUACCAUAUCUCUGAGGAUGAAAAUCAAACGCAGCCUUUACUAAAUCUGUUUUUUUACUGAUACAACUGUUAGAAAACAAAGAAGUGUCCGCAGGUUUAAAGGUUACAGAGGAAUAAAAGACGCGUUUAUAACGGUAAUGACGUCUUCAGACCCUCAAAGUUGGCAGGAGACCAAACCAUGAUUUCCUUUUUGCUCUGAAUCCAAACCAAACCACUUCCAGUUCUUUUCACAGCACAGUCAAAACAUCCUCGCUCAUUAACCAGCCUCUGACCCUGACAGUGACCCACCGCCAGCCUCAUGAUCUCAUGGCGUUCUCCCCUCCGCGUACAGUCAAUCCUGACCUGUUGCCGCUGCCAAUUACAGCGAGGCAGCGAAAGGAGGCUAACUCCAUAUUAGACAGAGUGAGCGUGCAGCAGCGGGCUCCAGGCACGACUUUUACCUUACGUCACGUUUCCGUCUGGGUUGAGAGCGAGACAGUGAGAACGACGGGCAAAGAUAAUCUGGUCUGGUCACUAUCUCAGUUACAUCCACACCCUGACAGGGGAACCAGUCUGGUACUCUGGGACUGAGGUUUCAGGCCAGAUUAGGCAGGAAAGGGCAAGUGAAGAACAAGGCGUCUUAAUGGACUGGGGCACCAGGACAGCUUCAUGCUGUCUGGAUAAACACUUCCCUCACAUUCACACACUUACGACUCCUUCUAUGAUGAUGUGAUGAUCACUUACAGGGGGGAGGAUUUCUGCAGCCCCUUUGCAACUAUUUCUUUACAACGUGACGCUUGCAGAAAGAAAAUGAUCAAAGUUUUACAAGCUAAUGAAGACUUUUGUUUGUUGUUUGUUUGCAUGUCAAACAUCGUUUCUUCAUUUCGCUCUGUUCGGGUGGUUACACGAUUUAUUGACGAGGACUGUGAGCGUCAGAGGACUGAUAGUUUUGCGUUGCAUGAUACAUUUGUCAGUAUUUUGAUCUCUGGUUAGGCUGGGAUAUAACCAGUAUGUAUAACCUGCACAGAUCUGUUAGAUCUGAAUAUGACCGGGAGUGGACAGCAUUAUGCUGGAUAGCGUACAUCCUGCCAGAGAAGAAGGGAAAGCUGAAAGUGGGAAAACUGAGCAAACAUUAGCAAGGGACAACACCAGGCACUAAACAGAAGAGACAUCUACCAAACUGAAGAAAACAGAAUUACAGCAAACUCAAACUGCAUCAUAGUUUGCCUUUUAAAGGACUUGGAGACUUUAAAAGUUACAGGAAAGCAAACCUAUUUACAUUUGCAAAGACAGUCAAUAAAAACACUUAAGUUUGAACAUUAAUCGAGGUACUAAAAUCAAAUAAAUCUAUCAAUAUCAAUCUUCUAAAAACAGGAUAAAAACAGUUAAAAACUCAAAUAUGUUCACAGCGAUUAGACAUGUUAACAGCCCAUCAACAGGCUUACACAGCUCCUACUUAUGGUUCCACAUAAGCACAAAAGCCUGCUACAAUGCCCAAGAGGAAAGCUCCAGUCCAGAGCAGUAAUGAUCUAUGUGUGUAUGUGUGUGUGUGUGUGUGUGUGUGUGUGUGUGUGUGUGUGUGUGUGUGUGUGUGUGUGUGUGUGUGUGUGUGUGUGUGUGUGUGUGUGUUUGUCAGGGUACACACAUGUACACACACAUGCAGCUUUCUUCAGGCGCCUCUUGUGUGCGUCUGUGUAAGAACAUGCCAGCCUUUCAUUCAUUAAUCUGUGUGUGUUUGUAUGUGCACGUGCAGUCUCUUAAUUUCAUGGGUGCGUGUUUAAAUGUGCAUGAGCUUAUUCACAUGCAUGUUCCAGCUCGUGUGUGUGUGUGUGUGUGCAGGAUCUGCAGGGCAGAUUCUUCGGCACCAGGAGCGCCGAUCUCACUUAAUCUGCAGUUAACGGCUGUUUAAACAACCUCCAUAAAUGUUUAACGUUGCUGCCCAUGCCCUAUUGAAUGGGAGGCAUUUUACUUCAUGCAAAAACAGGCCACCAGGGGCCUCAAGGGCCCCCCUGACUUGCAUUUAAUGUGUGUAAGAAGGCGCCCAUUAUCAGCCUCACAAUGACACAAUUCACUCUGGCUGUGUGUCUGCCAUCCCAUUUGGUUUGUAUCAGGGCCCCUGUGCUGCUGAUGGCUAUCUAAUUGGAAGAGUUCAUCAGGAGCUGAUGUCUGAAGAGUGGAAGUGUUCACGAUGGACUGGGCUCCAUGUGUUUGUUCCAAAAUGACUUUGUGAAGUGGAGUCAGAUGCAGUUUUGCACAGAAUGAACCAAAAAAAACAGGAGAUGACGGUUACGGAGGAGGUUUUGUGUUUGAAGGAGUUUCAUAUUUGCUCUCACUUGAGUUCAAAAACAAAGCAGCAGACUCGCUCUGUUUGUUUGUCGGAUAAAACCUUUUCCAGGAGGCGCUCGGCUUUAAACUCGGGACAUGUUUUAUACAUGUUCGGGGCUAAAAUGACAGACGUGUUCAGAAAGUUUUAGAGCUCUCUACAAGGUCGCUGCAGGCAGUAGUUUGAAAACAUGCUGCAGCACAGAGCAUCCAUGGUAAUGUGUGAUAGUAUGGAAAACUUCACCACAGGGCGCGUUUCUUUGGGAGCAUCUCUCCUUUCGAAACUGACUAAGCAGAUUUAUCCUGCUGGUCCUCUUCUGCCUUAUUUGGCGACUGUUUUGGGACUUUGAUGACCUGAAUGGGUUCAUAUCUGUGUCUGGUAAUUGAUCAGUGCCGGUCUGACAUAGUUGGCAGGGCUUGACACUAACUUUUUUUUACAAGGAGCGCGUGUUCUCCUAAGUUAAAUAAGUAAGGAGCACACAAAGACCUUUAGGGGCACAAUAAAAAUUGAUCAAAUAAUGUGUGUCUUAUAUUGGUUGACAUAAUUAUUAUGAUUUGGAAUCGAUUUUAGGUCAAUUGGUCACAUGACAUGGAAGCUAUUGAAGGAAAACAGCCUUUUUUGAGAACAUCAACCGGUAAUUUAUUGACGGUCCCUUAUUCAACACCGACGUUGACAGUGAGGGUGUCGAGUAGAUUUAACCGCGCUACUGUUGUUAUUCCCGGUUAUGGAGAGUGAGAAGACACCGGUAGAUCCUCAGAGAAUGUCCGUCAGAUAUCCAACCUAAAACUAACUUCACCGCCGUAUUUACAGGAAAAUUUAUCCAACCUAAAACUAACUUCACCGCCGUAUUUACAGGAGAAUAUAUCCAACCUAAAACUAACUUCACCGCCAUAUUUACAGGAAAAUAUAUCCAACCUGAAACUAACUUCACCGCCGUAUUUACAGGAGAAUAUAUCCAACCUAAAACUAACUUCACCGCCGUAUUUACAGGAAAAAACGUUUGUUGCCUUGGCUGAUUUUUCUAUGCGCACAUGUGACCCUAACUACAUUUUACAAUUCGCACACAUCUAUUUUUAGUUGCAAAUGUGAGUGAAACGGUCGCACUGUCGAGCCCUGCAUAGUAAUACUAAUUCAUCGUAUGGAUCAGAUUUAAAGUCUUACAUGGACGAGUGGAAACAUGGACUUCACUUCUUCCACGGUUUAACAGAAAUCCCCCUACCCUGAGUGCGCACACACUCACACACACACACACACACACACAGAGUAAAUGGUGUGUGUUGUAUGAUGAGCGGUGCAUUAACAGAGCAGGACUCCCUGCUCUCAGCGCUCUAGGGGAGCACAGUGAUUUACUGUUCCUGUUAUAAACGCCGCUCCGUUCCUUAAUGAGCCUCUGACAUGCUGCACGGUCCUGGCGUGUUUUCCUUUGCCUGGUUGGCGACGGCUCCCUGAUUACUGCCCCCAUUAAGAGGGCAUUCCCUCUGACACCAGCGUGCGCCUUCAGCCAUACGCACUCAGGCAUUACAAGCAAUCAACUGAGGCUGGGUAAUAAUGGGGGUGAGCAGCACCUGCCCUGAAACUGGCUAAGGACUAACCCUGUGCCAGAAACAUAAAACAAAGGGAGAAGUUUGGAGGACACUCUGGUGUUGGUCUAACACACGGCCUCAUGCGCUCUCCUGUACCCGGAGCAUUCAGGAUGACGCUGACAGAAGAGUCUGAGUAUCAGCGGACACUUCGGAGUAAUAAAUCACUGAGCUUCUUAUCCUUAAAGACCGCCAUUACCAUAACAACACCACAUAUCAAUUGGUCUAUAUUUCAUCUUUUAUUUAUUUUUUAUUAAGUGAUGCAAAACAGAACAUGACAGGUGAGGGACAACAAACUAAGACACAGACAGGGGAGACAAGACAAGACAGGCAAAAGCAGGUAUUAUUGUAUUUCACCUGCUGGUAGGUGGAGUUGACUUAUUAAUAACAAUAUAACAUUUGGAAAUAAUAAUGCUAACUAAUAAAAGUAAGAAGAAUAAUGUAACAGAACAAAGGGACAAAGGAAAAAAAUAAAUAAAUGAAAUUAAGAAAGAAAAGAUAUAUCUCUUUAUAUAUACAUAUAAAUAUACAUAAAGAUAAAGAUCUUAGUUCAUUCAUUUUCCAUUUAAAUUUUUCUUUUUUUGUCUAUUUGAUUUUACUUUUGCAGAAAACCAUUGGUCGUCAGUAAGAUUUUUCAAAAUAAAAAAAAACAAAAAUCUCAGAUUUUUCUCCAAAAGUAUUUCCACUUCUGCAGAAACCUCAUAAAAAAAUAUAGCUUUUGCCUUAUAUUUCCAACACUGAUUGUAACUCCAGAUGUUUCAUUUUCAGUCUCAUAUCCGAACAGAAAAAACUUCUUAAUGCUGCAGAGACUGGACUAAACCGAGACACUCACAGUGUGGAGCACUGUGAUUGAUCAAACUCUGAUUAUUGUGCACCUUCCUGCACAAAUGCACACCUUUGCAUGUCUGACUGGUCUACAUUUAGUCCAGCUUAUAUUUGUAUAGUUUUUAAUAAUUACAUCUUUUUCUAUUUAAAGGCUCUUUUGAAGCACGACUAUUAAAACACAUUAUAUUAUGAAGUCUUUGUUAUUCAGGGUUUGAUUUACUACAAUAUAUUCCUCUACCCAUAAGAAUAGAAAAACACGGGAUAUUGAAAUUAAAUGCUUCAAAUGACAGACGUUCAUGUCUAAAAUGAGCCUCUCUGUUUAUUGCAUAUGCAUUACAUGAUACACAACGAUAAGAGGUGAUGAGAAACAAGAGCACCAUUAAGGUAUUGCACAACCCUUGCAGCCUGCAUAAGGAGCUUAUUUGGAGACAUGUAUGAAGUGUGUGUGUGGUGGGUGUGUGUGUGUUUGGAGGGAAGAUUAACAGUUUGGCUAAGAUGCAUGUUGGCAAUAAAGACUAUCUGAGUAGAUCUGAAAUGGUUCAAUGUGUAAAAACAGUCAUGAAACAGACGGAAACCAGUCCUCAGUCAGUUUUAGAUUUUGGGUUAUUUGAGGAAUAUCUGCAUGAAUUUAUAUUUAUAUUAAUCUGAACUCUCCAGAUUCAGAUUUAACUCUUUUAAAAAUACAUUUUAAUUGAUUUUCCAAGACUGUAAAUGUUGUUGACAUUUAAACUCACCGCAGGUAUGUGCUCCAUGAGACCACGCUGGUGCUCCAGAGGUUCUCCUAAUCCAUGAAAGUUUAAAAACCCGUAAAAACCGUCCUCCUGAAGUCUUGUGUUCCAGUUGUCAUCAUAUAUACACCUGCAGCCAUACGCCGACUCUCACAGUUGGGCAGCUCGUGCGGCUCUAAGGCAGGUGGAGACUGACUGACAGCUGCCAGCACAACAGCUGAUACUCAAUAUCUGCACGCCACUAGUUGCAGCUGGACCAAUGGGACGUGCAGGCAGCAGCGGCUGGCUCGGCCCAGGCUCAUUCAGUAAAACCUGGGACUCCACUCAGAGGACCACAGAUCCCAGGGUGUCCCAGUUUUCCUAGGACUCCUGCGUGACCAAAUCCCCUCUCUUAGGUCUGUCUGGACCUGCCGUGCAGAGCCGCCAGCCCCAAGGAUGCUGCCCAGACGCCAUACGACGCUCGCACUCUCUCUCCUCACAAGGCUGGAUUAUUCUUGAACCACCUGGACCUCAGAGCCACCGCUCUCUGAGCAAGUUUGGACAUAGUUCACUUGGACUUGAAUUGACCCAGGGAAAAAGCUUCCCUUCAAAUGUGGCUCGACCCAACAGAACCA